UUAAGUUCAGCGGGUAGUCCUACCUGAUUCGAGGCCAAAGCGUUAAAAUAAGUUGUCCGUCAGGACGGCUGUAAGCAGCGCCGCUGAAGAGGCUUAAGGCGUUGGCGCAGAUAAUUAUCACACCGGUGCCCAGCACUCUAAAAGCGCAAGCUAAUGCAUUUCAGGACGAGCCAACUACGGCACGGUCCAAAUCCACCACA
rnacentral:misc_RNA from 1 species